rnacentral:lncRNA from 1 species
UUGUUUUAAUUUUUUUUUUCUACUAUAAUUUUCUCAGUAUUUCCCUUUGUAUUAAUCAAUUUUAUAGUAGUGAAGCCAUGAAAAGGAGAGAAUUAGUUAAAACAACAACCAAUACCAAACACAGCAGCUCAACCUUCAUCUCCUCUGCAUUGUGAGCAGCAUUGGAAGAUCUUUUUCAGCAUCAGUCACGUCCAACAACCAAGCAACGUCCACUCCCUCUCUUUUUCUGUUCAUAGCAGCUUCAUUUUUCUUGUUCCAACCGAGAGACUACAAUCACAGCAACAGCACUGUGAACAGCAGCAAAAGAUCCAGCCGUAACCAGUUUCACCAGCAGCUCCUCCUCUCAGUAACGUGAGCAAUAGUUCAGCCUAACAUGACCAGCUUCACAUAAACUAUCUCCUCAGCCACGCAACAACAGUUCAGCCUUCAUUUUCUCUACACUGUGAGCAGCAAUGAAAUAUAUUCUUUAUCAGCAACCACUGGUUCCAUCGUGACCAGUUGUAAUCCAAUAGCUUCCUUCAAGUAACAAAUCGUGCAACAGCAAGUUUUUGCCUCUCCAUCACAGCAGACCCAAGGUUCAGCAGAGCAAUAACACUAGCAUUAACUCCUUUUGUGAGGUAAAAUUUAUGUUUUCGGUGCAAUAAAAAAGAAGGGAAAGAAAGCUUGUUUUGUUUUGAUUUUUAAGCAGUGUUGAAUCUAGGUGUAAGAUUUAUAAGUCAGUUAUGGUUGUUGUUAUUAUUCUUUUUGAUGCAUGGAUUCUGGGCGAGGUCAUUAUAGACUGUUUUGAUCUUUCAAAAGUGAAAGAGAGUAUUUAUUUUUUGUUCAUGGGUUUGCUUGUUGGGUUAAUUAUUCAAGGCUUGGUGAUUUAGAAAAAUAUUUACUGUCGUAAUCGUAUUUUUUUUAAUCAAUGUCUCAUUUAUUUAUUAUUGCAUCACAACAAAACUUUUUAUUAUUAUUAUUUUAUACCAAUAUCAAUAUUCAUGAUAUCAUUGAUUAUUCUACUUGAUAAUUUAUCCGUGCCGACAAUAAUAUUUAUCAUUAUCAUUAGUCACCAUUUUUCAAAUGAAAACUCAAUUUAUACGGAUAUCAAUACCUAUGAUAUC